rnacentral:lncRNA from 1 species
UAAUGAAAUAAUUAUACAACCCACCAUAAUGUAGAAUCAGUGGGAGAUCUCAGCUUGUUUUUCUGCAACUAGACAGGUCUCCUGUGGGGGUGAUGUGAGACAGUGACAGAUCAUCAGGCAUUUGAUUCUCAUAAGGAGCAUGCAACCUAGAUGCCUUCUAUGCACGGUUCACAGUGGGGUUCACGCUUCCAUGAGAACCUAAUGCCACUGCUGAUCUGACAGGAGGUAGAGGUUACUCACAUUACUCAGGGGUAAUGUGAGCAGUGGGGAGCAGUUAUAAAUACAGAUGAAGCACACUGCUCACUUCCUGCUGUGCGGACUGGUUCCUAACAGGCCAAGGACAGGUACUGGUCUGUGGCCCAGGGGUAGAGAACCCUUGUUAUUCAACAUGGAGACUCCUACAAAGCUGAUGAAGUCUGGACUGGGAGGGAGAUAGUCGAGGGGGCAGUUCCCAGAAAAGACGUGCUCUUAGGCAGACAAGAAAUUGUUUACUACAAUUAAUAAUAACUUUGAAAUUAAUUAUAUAUAUUCCACUUGCAAAAUGAUUCAAUGAAGCUAAUAGUAAUACUAUUCUAUAUUUUAUAAGACUAUAUAUGUUACUUCAUAUUAAUCAGAAUCACAACUACCCAAUGCAGUAAAGCAUCAGGUGUAUCUGUUCCCAUUUUUAUAGAUGAUGAAACCAAUGUGCAGAGAGGUUAUGCAGUUUGCCCAAGGACACACAGCUGGAAACAACAUUCUGGAUUAAUUUUAAGUGAAAAUACCCUGGAGGCACACUGAAUUUUCAGACGUGGACAGCUGAUCAUCUGAGGAAGCUGCCGCAUUUCCAGUUCUCUUUUGGUUGAGAGAAAGGCCAUUCUUCAUGCUCUUCUGUUCUUUUGAUUUCCUAUUGGCAUCUCCGUUUCCCUCCAUACCUUUCAACAUUCAAGCCAGAUGCCAAUUGUCUGUGUGAAAACACACUGCAUCUCAAAUAUACCAAGAUGCCUUAAUAUUUGACCAUAUGUGAAUAUUCCAGUAAACUCCUGGGACUUAUGUUCCAGUGUCAGUGCUGAACAACAGGAAGACUGUAAAUACCAUCAGCUAACCAGAAGACUCACAUAUGCCUCAUGUUUAUAAAUGCCGAUAGAUGUAGUGCGUUCUAAAUUUGAAUUUUUGGUGCAAGAGAGGGGAUGGGUGCUCUCUCCAUGGAGGCAGUGCAGCUUGCAAACAUACAAAUGAAUGGGACCUCCUCAGGUUGCUGCUGAUCAUGGCAAUCAGUUAUUGUGGAGAGACUUGCAAACAAGGAACAUCUCUUGAGAUGAACUCUGAAAGAAAAGAAGAAAAGAAUGUGUCCAUGGUAGCCAACCCUAUAUUAAAUAAAGUUUGAACUAACUAUAUUAACUGGGCCAGAAAAAUUCGCCUGAAGCUGGACAGGGUGGGAUUAAAUUCCAAGACCUUAAGCAAAACACUUCAAAGGACAUAGGAUGAAUUUUGAGCAAUAUCUUUAUCUUUGCCACCCACCGCAGUCCCCAGCCUCCUGCGAUGCUGGCCUCGUCGUUGAAAAAACACAAAAGCAAACCACUUCAGGAGGAUUUACUAGAUGCCAAGCUUUGUUUUGGACCUGGUGAGAGUUAAGAAGAUGAAAUAAACAAGCCCUUUGUUCUCAAGUUGCCCAGUGAUUUAGUAUGAGAAUCUUUAUUGUCGUAAAAGUGCCUAACAAUGCUAGGCAGGAAGGCAGGAAGCAGGAACUGAGGGCAAUGUGUCCUUGGAAUGGCCCAGAGAAGAGGCUGAGACUCUUACCUUGACUCUGAGCUGACUUAAAGGGUCUGGUAUAAUGGCAGUUCUUUUACUGAACUGCACUCUCUUCUAGUAAGUAUAAAAAAGUUCUACUGGCAAUAAUAAUAGCAAACAUGUAUCAGGUUCUUACUGUGCUAAGCACUUUAAUUCUGUUAUUGGACUUUCAAAACAACUUACUGAGGAUGAUACCAUUACUUUUCCUGUAUUACAGCAGAGGGAACUGAGGUUUAGAGAGAGAAAAUAAUUUGCCAAAGUCAUAUAAUUGUUGUCUUAUAUAAUUGUUCAUCCCAUAGAGAAUGGCAUUUUCAUUUCUACAGAGAUCAGAGUGUGUUGUUUUCUAUUUCCUGUCUCAAAUGUGUUACUCCUCAUCUCUGCCAAAGCAGGCUCUAUUUAUCCUGCAAGAACUGUGGAACCUCCUCGACUUCCAUCGUAAACUCUUCCUGGGACCCAGUGACUUCUCUUCCCACAGCAUACUUGGAGAAUUUAUGCCUGCCUCAUGUAUUUGGCAAUUGAUCAUAAAUGGUCCUACGCUAAUUCUCAUUUGUCAUAUGAUAUUGUUUAAUUUUGUUUAAUCUUUCCAUCCAGAUUGUAAACUCCUUCUUGUUUCUGGCUGUGUCUAAAGGAUUAAAAGUGAGUCUUUUAUACUAUUCACCACAAUGCACAAUUGAGUUGUCUUUGUAUUUAUUUGAGUUAAAGUUGUAUAGGUUAUAUAUUGCUGCUUAACAAAUUUCCACAGACAUAGUGGCUUAAAACAACACACAUAUAUUUCUGUAAUUACAAUUCUGUAGGUCAGGUGUUGGGCAUGUCUUAACUGGUCCUCUUCAAAGUUGCAAUCAACGUGUUAGUUGAGGCUCAGUUCUCAUCUGGAGGCUCAAGUGGAGAUGGUUCUGCUUCCAAACUCACUUAGGUUGUUGGCAAAAGUCAUUUCCUUGUGGUUGUAAGACUGAGGGCUCCAGCUUCUUGCUAGCUAUCAGAUUAAGCCUUUCUCAGCAAUUAUUGGCUGCCCCUUCCACCCCAGGUCCAUGCUACAAGGUUGUCUCUCAUAUGCCUUUUUACAAAAUGGCAAUUUUCUUCUUCAAGACAGCUACUGAGAGAGAGUCUUUGGAGCAAAUUUGCUGGUAAGAUGGAGUCUUACAUAACAUAAUGUCAUAAUGAGAGUGACUUCCUAUCUCCUUUGCUAUAUUCUGUUGAUUGGAAGCAAGUCACAAGUCUUACCUAAUCUGAAGGAGAUGGGGUUAUACAAGGGCAUGAACAACAAGAAUCUGGGGUCAUGGGGGGACCACCUUGGAGCCUAUCCACCACAGAAAUGAAAGAAGCAAGAAAUGUACAAAGAUUUGAGACAAUUAUAUUUCACUUAGGAAAUUAAAAAUAGCACUUACAAAUUUAGAAAACUGAUUCUGAUCUCCUUGUUUCAACUACUAAAUAAUCACCAUCAAAAUUUGAAUAAUCUUGGCUAAACAGCAGGUUUGGCUUGUGGAGAUGGAGCCCAGGAGAUAAAGCAUCAACUAGGAGGUGUGUAUUGAGGGAGAUAACUUGCUAUGAAUAGUCGCCGUUCAAAGUGAUGUAGUCAACUCAAGCUUUACUCUUGCCGGAGCUGAGAUACAAGGCCAACUAGUCAGGAGUGGGUGGCAAGAAACUGGGUGUACUAGGACUGGGGUUCAGUAAGCCUUUCAGAGAGAGAAACUGGAAAGUCCAGGUAGUUGGUCAAGAACCCAACCUGGAGGAACAGGAAUAUAGCCUCUUGAAGGAUUCAGUCACUAUCAGGAAGCUGAGGUUGAGCCACAGCUGUGAAGAAUGGAUGGACCAACAUACAGGUGGGCCCAGUUAAUGUAGGAUUGUGGCUCAGUGGGCCUGUCCCCAUUUAUAGGACUAUCAUUUGGCUGCACCUGUGGACAGAGGGGAAGCUCUUAAUGUUCUCCUUGUAGAAGACCUCACUGAAGGAAGGGUCUAAGAAUUAUUGCAUGACAUUUAGGUUCUAAUUCCAUAUAGGUCAAAUUUGCAGGAAGCAGUACAUAUUUACAUUUUGUUUUUUCCUAAAUAUGAGACACAUUUACUUAUUUAUAAGAUUUCAUUUUUAUGCCUUCCUUUCUCUUCUUCUCCCAUUGUUUAAAGACCUUAAUCUUCAUGAAAACCCUUAGAUUUCUAUCGAGUUCUUCUUUUUUCAUUGAAACCUAAUGAUAAAGAUAUUAUCCUAUUGAUGGGACAAAUUGGAUCAGAUAUGCUUUUCUGCAUAUUGCUUAUUUGUCAUACACCUUCCUAUGCCUUUUUAAAUAAUACAUGUUUUAUGGGGCCUUUCUCCUGUGACUCAUUUUUGGAGCUGAUCCGAUAAGGAGUUAUUCUCCAGACGUGGCACCACUGACCCUCAUUUCAAACUACAUUUUUAAUUUAUUUUAAAAAAGAUAUUUCAUUCACAGAAUCCCCACUGAGCUUUUUAUUGUGAAAAAUUAGGACCCGUAAAUCAUCCCCCUCAGAACAUUAUAAAUUUUAUACAAUUGAAACAUUCCAUGGACUGAGCUUGGCACUUUGAUGAAAUCACUCCUUUGCUUCUCUUAAUUUAUGAGCUUUCUUCAUUCUCCUCCCUCCUGCUCCAUCAUCACCUUGCCCUCCCAGCAAGAGACGGGGUGGUAUCAUGCCUUUAAAUUGCUCACUGGGGUUUAUUGAGUGUAAUUUGUGAGUGAAUUUAUAUGAACCUACAAUAUUGCAAUUUAUCCAAAAUUAUGAACAAUAAAACUUUUCAUUUUUCUGGCAGUCAGAAGGGACGUGGGUUGAUCACGCAGGAGGUAGCUCAACAUGGUGCACUGGGGAAGAACCAAGUACCUGGAAGCCAGAUGAUGCGGGGUAGAGGCACAGCUCCCCCAGUUGUUCGGAGACGGAGGCCUCGGUUUCCUCAGAGCAUGCAUGAUCUUUAAGAUUGUUUUUUUUUUUUAGCUCUCAUGCAUUUUGAUUCUAUGGAUUGAGAUGGUUUUUGCCUUGUUGCUUCUUUUUAAAGGGUAAUUAUGAAAACCAACAUGAUGUAUCUUAAAAGUUUGAUUUUCAAUAUGGAGAGUUAGCUUUCAUUUUUUAGGGGAAAGAAGGUAUGAGAGUAAGGGGAAAGCACAACCAUGUAAAAGAGCAAAGUACUCCUGAUUCUUGUCUGUGAGGUUUGCACUGGAUUAUAAGGUCCUUGAAACCAGGGGCUGUGUAUUUAACUUUGAGGCCCUGGCUCCCAGUACAGAGAAACUGAUACCUGGGUUUCUGAUAAAAGUGUUGAAUUAAUAUGGAAAAAUCCAAAGUCGGGUUACUCCCACAAAUCCAAAUGCCUGGAAUAGUGCCAGACCCACGGAAGGUGCUCAAUACAUAAUUGUUUGAUAUCCAACAGAUGGGCUACUGGCCAUAAUUGGGAUCUUGGUGUUUCCGUUUCCACUCCUGGUCCAUGUGACAUCCUUAUUUUUUAUAUCUUAAUGUUUUUUUGACUAGGAUUCCAGUUGGAUUUUUUUUUUUUUUGAUUGAGUCUCAUUCUGUCACCCAGGCUGGAGUGCAGUGGUAUGAUCUCAGCUCACUGCAACCUCUGCCUCCUGGGUUCAAGUGAUUCUCCUGCCUCAGCCUCCCAAGUAGCUGGGAUUACAGGCGCCUGCCACCAUGCCUGGCUAAUAUUUUGUAUUUUUAGUAGAGACAGGGUUUCACCAUAUUGGCCAGGCUGGUUUCGAACUCCUGGCCUCAAGUGAUCUGCCUGCCUCGGCCUCCCAAAGUGCUAGGAUUACAGGAGUGAGUCACCACACCCAGCCUCCAGAUGGAUCUUUUAAGAAAUUGCUAGCUUUUUGGCCUCACUACUUCUCGCGCUGUUGGAAAGGGUUUUGCUGCUGCAGAAAUAGGCUAGAAUUCGAAGAUAGAUGUUGUAUGGCAAAGUGGCUGAGCUUCAGCUCUGGAGAGAGACUUGGGUUUGAAUGCGGCCUCUAUAACAUAAGCUCUGUGACCUUUGGUGGAAUAUUUUCCUCCUGCUAAGCUCUACUUUACUUCUCUGUAGAAUGGGGGAUAAUAAUUAUACUUAUUUCUUAGGGUAGAAGUGAGGACUCAAAGCAGCUAUCCAUAUAAAGAGCUUAGCCCAGGGCUGGCAUAUAUUAAGUAUUCAAUACAUGUUACCUAUGACUUGAAUUUAAUUAUUAUUAGGAGUAUUGGUGUAUACAUCAGUAAUUGCCACAGUUUUUACUUUUGCAUUAAAAUUCAGAUUCUGGCCACUGCACUCCAGCAUGCGUAACAGAGAGUGACCUCUCUCUCUCAAAAAAAAAAAAAAAAAAAAUCAGACUCUGUGGGGACACUAUGAUUAUUGUCCUAUAUACAAUUUAUUUAGUUAACAACUUUUUCUUUAGCUUUUCAGGAUAUAUUUUGAGAUCCUUGUGUUAAAAGAAAAGAGUAUCACUAAUAUUAUUAACAGAACCUCACCAUUUUGGAUAGAGAGCGUUGCUUGGAUUUCUAAUUACUUCUAAGUGUAGUUUUAUUUAAUUUCAGUCCUUUAGAAAAAAAAUGAGAAUAUAGUGCUGAAGCAUCUGGUAUUUAUGUUUUUUCACAAGAUGGAAAAUUUCCUUCCUGACAGUUGUUGGUUAUGACUUUGCCUAUGUGCAAUUAUAAUACAGCACACUACUGUUUUAAGAAGAGUAUCAUUAGCGUCAGAAUGCAAAACAGUCUGAAAUACUCGAAAAUCAAGCUGAAGCCAAUUCCCUUUUCUUUGACCUGCUUGCAGGAUACCCUGACAAGGUAUGAACUGGAGUAUGUGUCUUGGAACUAUUUACCCCUUAAAUAUGAAAAAUGUAAAUAAGCGAUGGAGUUUGGGGUGACAGAGGAUCUAAAGUGAUGGCCACCCAGCCCUUGCGAGUAAAAUAUGGCUCACUUAAAGACAUUUCAGUCCUAAAUCAUGCACAGCAGGCGAGUUUGUGGGCUGAGCGGCUUGCACAAAAACAUUCCUUUGGGACCAUUUAAAAAGGCUGAAUAAGCAAGGAAUCCUGUGUGACAAUGCUCAGAAUACCAAAGGAGCGGUUCAGGUAUACAUAUUAUUGCCCGUGGCUCGAAGCCCAAUAACCUUUUCCUUAUUGAGAUAGAUUCCCUGGACAGAAAACAAAUCCUUUCCAAGUUAGAGAACUUUAUCAGAUUUAUUUCUCAUUGUCAGGUCAGCAUGCAGGAAACAAAUGAAGUCUGUCGCGUGAUUCAUAUUAGAAGGAGAGCAAUUUAUAGUGCUCACUGGCUUCUCACAAACCUUAUUAAUGUUUGGCAUAGGGUGCCAAGGAAUCAUAAAGAAUCAUCCUGUUGAGCAUUUAUAUCUGCUUAGUCUCUGAUUAUAUGUCCUCGACACAGCUUAAAUAAUGGCAGACAGAGCAUCUCGUGAGCAGGAAAUGAGAAAGUAACACAUGUUUUUGUCUCAUAUUCAAAUAUUCUUCCCUAUCUUUUUAAAGUCUUCCCCUGGGAGGCAAAGAACUGUUUUUAGGUUUCAUUUUUCCUUAAGCUGUUGCUGCUCUUGCCUGUAAUUUCCACUUUGUUUAGAUUUGUCACAGCCCUAAAAUGGAAUUAAGUUGCUUAUUUAUGCUCAUGUCUUUUGUUAUUUUGAAUUUGGGGCAUUUCUUACUUCAGUCAUGGCUAUAUAGUUGCUCCACUUCACAUUCCCUUUUGAAUUCUAGCCCCUUGUGCCUUUGUGAUGUGAACUCAUUAAGGAUAGUGCCAACUUAUUUAUGAAGUUCUUAACAUAUUUGACCUAAUAAUACUAAUAGAUGGCAUUUGUUCAAUGCCACCUAUGUGGCACAUAAAAUAUAAAUGUAUGUGCCAGGCACCUUACAUUUAUACUUUAUGUAAUCAUCAUAACAACCUCAUGAGGUAAGUAGUAUUAUCACACUCAUUUUAGAGAUCAGUUACCCUGGGAUACAGUGCUACUAAACAGAAGAGCUGGAAAUUGCACCCCAACAAUCCACUCUUCACUGAGCUGCACUCCUUCUCUAGAACAUUAAUUUAUAGUUCAUUGAAUGUGGUGCUCUAGAAAACAUGAGCAUAACAAAGAGAGAAGAGAGGAGGAAAAUGGGAAGAAAUAAGGUUAAAUGUAGAAAGAUGGACAGCAUGACAUUCUACCAGCAAUUGAUCUGAGGGACUAUUAGUUGUACAACUGGCUCUUGAAUUUAAUUGGCUUCUCAGGUGCCUUGCUAAUGGCUAGUGAUGUGGAUGGGUCAUUUGACCCUUCUGAUACCUGAAAAGGACACUCUUCUACUAUAUGGAAUUAAUCGUUUGGUAAUUUUUUAUUUUGAAAUAAUUUUAGACUCUCCAAAAAGUUACGAGUACAGGGAACUUCCAUAUCCCUCCAACUAUAAUAUCCUAAUUGUUAAUGUUUUACCACAUUUAUUUUUAUAAUUUUCUCUCUAUAUAGACACUUAUUAUUUUAUGAAUCAUUUGAGAAUAAGUUGCAUGCUCAAAUACUUUGGUGUGUGUUUUCUAAGAAAAAGUAAAUUCUCAUAUACCCACAUUAUAAUUAUUGCAAUCAGAAAACUAAUACUGAUUCAAUGCUAACAUCUAAAGUACAAACUUGUAUUUCACCAGUUGUCCCAAUGAAAAGGUUUUGGGAGGGGAUGUUCAGGGACCAAUCAAAUUACAUGUUGCAGUUAGUUGUCUCUUUAGUCUCUUUUAGUCUGGAACAGUUUCUCUUUGUGAUUUUUCAUUUUGACAUUUUUAGAAAGGGUAUAUAGGUCAACUGUCUUUCAGACUGUCUCUCAAUUUGAGUUUGCCUGAUGCUUCCUCAUGAUUGCACCGAAGUUACACCCUUUGGGCAGGAAUGACACUGAAGUGAUGCUAUGUUCUCAGUGCAUCAUACCAGGAUGCACCUCAUGCUAAUUUGUCCAGCUAUUGGUGAUGUUAACAGAUUGCUCUAAUGUAAGGCUACAAUUUUUCAAUGUACUAAAGUUAAAAUUUGAUUUAGAUUCUAAUUUCCUCAGAAUUGGGUUCAAAUCAAGUCCAUUGCUUAAGAAGCUUUGGGUAUUCUGAAAAAGCUAACUUCCUGAUCUGUAAGUAUCAGGAUCAGUCAUGGAAAGUGGUGCCUGGCACAUACAUUUAUAUUUUAUGUGCCACAUAGGUGGCAUUGAACAAAUGUCAUCUAUUAGUAUUAUUAGGUCAAAUAUGUUGAGAACCUCAUGUAAGUAUUGCUUAAUGUCUUGGGACAUUAAGCAGACACAGGAACUUGGUACUCUAACUCCAGGGAACAAACCAGAAAAUGGCAGAAUUAUUGUACAAGACCAGGUCUGGGUUGGCACCAAGCAUGACUUGAAGAAGGCACCAAGGAUGGGGCUAGAAAGCUAGUUAAACUUUUAGCCUCAAAUCUGGCUGGGUCUGAGAGACUGAGGAAGAGAAUCAGAAGAUUUCAGCUGGCGGAGAAGCAGGGCACAGUGUGUGGACUGAGCUUGAUGGCAUGAUCAGCUGAUGCUGCUAAAGACCUGAGACUCUUAAUCAGCAACUGUGCAAUCAGCAAUAGCAGUUGUACCCACCUUAUCUGCUAUGGAGGCAUUAUUAUUGGCUUUUUUGGGGGGCAUUUAAUGAAAAUUUCUUGCUUUCAAGGUUAUUCUUCAACUAUACAUCACUUGGGCAGUGCUGAGAAACACAUAGGAUGAUUUGGCCUGGGCUCCAUAUCCUUCCCAGGAAUAUCUUAAGACUGAGAAAUAUGGUCUCUUUUCCAUACCUCCAAGUUGCUUUUACAUGGAUGAAGAGAAUCAGAAUGCUCAGUGAAAUAUGUAUUCAAAAAGAAAUGUACCAGAAUAAAAUUACAUUAGAAAAUAAUUGCUUCUAAAAAUCAUCACCCAUUCUUACCCUCUGUUAUUCUGUUCUCUUUCAACUGUCUGUAUUUUAAUCCCUUUCUUCUUCCCUGAUGUUUUCUAUUCAUUUAAUUUAAGCAAUGUUUCUGGAUACCAUAGCAAUAGCAAUGAGGUGUUGUAUAAACGUACAAUGGAGCAGAAUGGAAAUGCUUCCUAUGGUAACAGAAACCAUAGAAACAUGUGCGUGUGUGUGUGUGCAUGUGCGUGCACACACACGUGCAUACAAAGCUGUUUUGGGGUCAAAGCUUUGUAGAGUUCAUGCAACUAGGAAAAUGAAGUGUUUCACUGUGAUCACAUUGCUAUUUGUAUCUAUUGUCAUCAUGAUUUAACAUUUAUUGCAUGCCUAUAGUCCCCUGGACAGACCCUGGAACUAGAUGUCAACUCUACUUAGUGGAUUUAUGUUUGAAAUUAGAUAGCAAAGCCACAAAAUGGAAAAAGAUGAGAAUACUUCCAAAACAGAAAUAUUGAAUAAUGCAUUUUCAGAAAAAUUAGGUAAGGAGAAAAUGAGUUUGACCCAGGCAGUUAGGAAUGAAGGAUAUGGGAGGAGACUUAAAUGUCUAGAUUAGAGAUGGUUUGCAGCCAUUUCCAAGAACCCUGGGAGGGACUGCUUGUGCUGCAUGAUCUAACACUUUAAUCCUCUUCUGCCAUGGCUCAGACCCCAUGGGGUGGAAUCUUGAUGAGGAGACUCCCUGUCUUGGAUAAUAAUAACAAGCUGUCUUCUCUGUAGGCAAAUUUUCAGGUGGAAGUCUCACUCUACCACUCUCAUAACCAAUGCAACAAAUAAUCAAGUUCUCAAGCUGCAAGGAAAACUGAGGGGAUUAUUUUUAAGGAUGUAAAGAACAUUAAACAAUGAAGAGAUAGUUUCUCAGAGUAAGUUUUUUCCCUCCUUUGCCAGGUGCCUGAUAUCAUCUUUCUUGUCUACCUUAGACACCCCCCACACUUUUUAAUAUUAAAAGUCUCUUAAUAACAAAAGUAAACAGCAUGUUAUUUAUGGAAACUGCACAACAUUAGCUUUGCUAAUUACAUGGUUACUCACUUUCCCAGCACCAGAUCACCUCUUAUUUGUUUCCAACUACUGUGGCCACCAUGUGUUUUAAGUGUAAGACAGAAAUAAUAAACUGCAGGUUUCCAGGGUACUCACGUAUUAUUUCUGCAGUUCACACAGGACAUGUACCAUCUGGGUUUGAAGGGCACAUCAUUCCAAGGCGGAAUGGAGUGAGUAGGGCUUUCCCAGUAGAGCCACUGACUCUAUGGGGAAAUUUCAAAUGGAGUUUUGGGGUCAGAGAGACCUAAGUUCAGAUGCCUGGCACAAUAACUUCCCACUUACAUGAAAUCUUCUUUGCCUUCUCUGUAAGUAACUUCUCUGCCUCUUGGCUUACUGUAUAUAAAUUGGGUAUAUGAUGCCUAAUUUCUAGUGUGGCUCUGAAUCUUAAAUGAGGUGAUACAAUAUGGCACUUGCCGUAAGGUAAGUUAUUACUGAAUGAUGGUCUUAGUUUCUUUCUACUCCAUUUCUGUCUCUUCUAAACUCCUAAGAACUAAGCUGAGAAGGCAUAAAAGAUGACACACAGACCAUUCAGCUCAAAAUCCAGAAUAAGAAGCCCAAACUGGAGUAUAUUCUGCAGAAGAUUUGCUGUCUUAAGGGAGCUACUAUUAGCUCAGCUUUAACCCUCCUUCCCAUCUCUUUCUGGUUAGUGAACUGGUGCCACCACCUGCCCAUUAGAGAACCUGAGCUAUUUGUUCAGUGAUUCACGUCUCUGGAUUCAGCACUGAGCCUGCAUAAACUCCCAACUCAGUCAGCAACACUGUGCUAACAUCUACUAGGAAUGGUUCAGUCCCUGUAGAUCUGAGAAAUAAUUCCUGUGGUUACAUCAACUGUUUGGAUCUUUGGAUCCAUAAAUUAUUUCUGUCUUUUCUUUUUUGAAGGGUUUUCUAUUUGAAUGCUGUUUUAUCUCAAAAGGCAGUUGGUUCCAUUCUGACAUGGUAGAGAUAUGAAGCUUCCUUCAACUGACACAGUUUGGCUAGAUGCCAGUCAGGAGUACCUCCAAGAUAUUUUGGCUGUAGGAUAAGUUACAGAUAGCCUGGCCUUGCCAUCUGCAAUGAUCGGUUGUAGUAAUAACAAUCUCUGGGUGCACAAUUAACCAAUUCUGAAAAUGUGAAACUUAUUAAUUAUCCUGCAUUUUUGCUUGGCUGCUAGCUAACUCUGUCUAGAUCCUGUUUCUUGGCAUUCUCUCAUCUGUCAUUUCUACCACAAAUCCCCUACAGAUCGUUAGUUGCCUAUGUUCCUCUACUUCAUUGUCUUUCUUUCAGUCAUUGACUGUUACUGAGAUUUUUUUUUUCAUGAAAUCAGAGUUUUAGUAUUCUUUUUUUAUUAUAGGGAAAAGAAACCAAGUCUCCUUGAAUCAGUUUAUCCCAAUGUCUUCUGGUUUUCUAUGUUGGCUACAGUCAAGAUAACCUAUUACUAAGGUAGGUUGUGUGUUUCUAGACCACCAAAUCUGUUCAAUAGACCUUUUUGCAUCUGAGUGGACAGGUCCUAGAUGACACUGGAGACAUAGAGGUGAACUCCCUCCCUGGCCUUCAGGUACUCACAUUGCAUUUGGGAACCUAGGCAUUAAGCAAACAACCAUGAUACAAUGUGCUAAGUGCUAUCACUAAAGUAUAAACAAAGUGGUUUGAGGGGCGUUAUGUUCCCCCAUAUUGACCUGAAGCUGUAGUAUUUUGACUGCUUCUAGAGUACCUGUAUGUCUCUGCAUGUCCAGGCAGUCUGAUUUAUUAACAGGGCCCUCUUUUAAUCUUGGAGUCUCUAUGUGGAUGAUAAACUGUAUGGUCUUUCUAUUUAUAAAUCAAAAACCAAUAUAGGAGGCUAGUUUAAUUUGUGAGCAAAUAUGUUUCUAUUUAUUAAGAAUUCUUGAGUUGCCUGCCUCUACAUUAGUGGUUGAGGCAGUGGAGUGAGUUCCUGAUCUGACUCACCUUUCUCACCAACAGUGAUACUUGUACUUUAGCAUAUACAUGAGAGACUGAGUUGAUUCUAUAGCCUAACUGGAAUUUAUUCAUUCCUUCAUCCAUCUACUCAAUGAAUCAAUUCUACAUUUACUGAGCACUGAUUGUGUGUCAGCCAAUCUACUAGGCACGUGGGAUACAGUGAUGAUCUAUAUAGAUAUAUCUCUGCCCCCACAGAACUUACAGAGUGGAGCCUCAAAAAGUGAUUUCAAUUUUAUCCAUCUGCUUUGUGUCUUCUCUUUAAAUCCUUGCUACCCAAAGUAGGCUCUCAAUAUUAGCAGCAUCAGUGUCACCCAGAAGCUUGUUAGAAAUGGAGAACUUAGGCCCACCUCACACCUAUUGAAUCUGAAUCUGCAGUUUCAAAAGAUCCUCAAUAAUCUGAGCAGAUUCUGAUUCAGUUGGUCUAGGGUCUUCACUUCUGACAAACUCGCAGGCAAUGUCAAUGCUGUUGGUCCAUGGAUCGCACUUUAAGGGACUUCCCCAGUUCUUUACAAAAUGUGGGUUGCAACCCAAUAGUGGGUCAUGAAAUCAAUAUAGUGAGUUGUAACUAGCACAUUCAAAAAUAUUUUAAAAUAGGAUAGAGUACACAAACAAUUCAGAGUGCAUUUCAUGUCAUGAUGAAGGCAUUGUUGCAUGAAACUUGAAUCAGCUUUUUGUACAUCUGCACACAGACACAAACACAGAUGUAUGUAGACUGAGUUCUGAUGAAAACGUAUUUCUUAAUACGGGUCGCAGCUGAUAACAGUUUGAAAGUUAUUGUUCUAGACAAGCUUAUCUAGGCCAGAAAGAAGUCCUCAGAAGUGAUUCCAGUCUAGAACAGAGAGCUCAGAUCAAAGGGGUUCUGUUAAUAUUAGAACUAUCCAGAAUCCCAGUGAGGACAUCCAGGAAAAAGUAGAACAGUGGGGCUAGAAAGAUCCUCUACUAGGGGUGACAGCUGUGUGCUGAUUGGAUGAUGAGAUGCCCAUGAUUAGUGGCUUGUACCAGUUGGCAUUAGGUUUUUGCAUGACCCAAGAUUUUGGACUGUGAGCUCCUUGAAGGUGGGACCUGUAUGUUACUCCUAGAGGCUAAAACAGUGCCUUUCCCGCAGGGGGAGUUUCCGCAGUGUACUGUGACUUUUUAUAUCUUUCAUACUACUCAAUAUACCACAUGUAACAAAUGAGGUCUUUUCUGUCUUUCCACUGGGAAUCAUGUAUUAUUCAUCUUUGCUUUUUUCUAGGGCCUACUCCAAUAUCUAGAGAUGGCAGAUAUUCAAGUCAUGAUUUAAAGCUUCAAGCAUAUGAUUAUGAGAUGGUGGUUCUCAACAUUUACCACAACCUCCCAGCAAACCACACAGCAGUCAACUCUCAAGAUUUCUUCCAGGAGGGUAAAGGGAUUUUUCUCUUCACAUGCCAUCCAACUCCAUGGGAAAACAUUAGCAGUGACAAAUGACUCUGGAUGAAUGCUUGAAUCCGAGGUCAUAGAUAUAAAUUACAAUUCUGGCCCUCAUUCACCCUCACAUAGCUUUCUGGCAUCCUUUCCCAUUCUCUGAACAUGAGAGGAAUGAGAAGGUUAUUUGGAAGGUCGCUGAUCUUAGGAGUUGUCCUGCUACAGUUACCGGAGAAUCUUGAAUUUCAUCUGAAAAGACUGCAAGGCAGUCGGGGCAAGCAUGCUAUGAGAAGUCAACUGGUAAGCAGACCCCAGAGAUGAGAAGCAUAUGGGAAGCCAACCCCAUGAUUUGCUUCCUUAAAAAGUAUGGGCUGUGGAUGGAUUUUAAAUCCUACUCUAAAUACAAGACUGGUGUUAGCGGUUGUUUGCAGGAAAACCAAAGGAACUUAGCAUCCUUCAGUGUGUUACAGAGACUGUGUGGCCUCAAGCAGUGAAGUGAAGAAUUCUUUUUGUCUUUUUCCUCAUAUGCCCAACCUGGAAACCAGCAGAAUUUUUGAUGGUGCAUCUGGUUCCUGGUGUGCUGCAGAAGUGAUUAGUGUGUCAUGUCACUGUGGCCUCUUUCUCUGCCCCAGGAGAAUGUCUGGGGAACAGAAGAGCAGAGUCCUGCCUGGGAUCAUGUGGGUGGGGGAGCUAUUCCUUCUCAACAGAUAGUGUGAGAAGCACUGAUCCAAGGUCCUGGCUGCUCAAAGUGUGUUCCUAGGAGCUUGCUGGACAUGCAGAAUCUCAAGUUCCAUCCCAGAACCUGAUGUUUUUAUUUGGAGCACUGGCCUUGGCAACACAUGUUCCUUCCUCACCUUUCUGCAGCCUCUCACUCCCCACUGUCGCCCACUCCUCAUAGGCUAUCCUCAGGAAUGGCAUUGGUGGAGUGUUGGUGAAGGUGUAGCUGCAAGCAUUCUGAUCUUUAUUUUACAAACUCUAAACCCAGAAGACUCCAAACCCAGAAAAGUCUAAGUCACAGAAAGCAAAGGAACAGUCUUAUUUCAGACACAUCUACAGUCUUUGCUGGUUAAAUGUCAGGAAGCCCACAAAAAGCUGCCAGACAUUUCAGGGUAUGAAUUUCGUAUCUGUACUUCUUGACAUCUGCUGGGCUACCAUGCCCUUCAAUUUACCAAAAUAUGGAAAUUUCCUUAUGGCAUUCUACCCAAAUAAUGAGGAAAAUGUUGAUGCUUCUCUCAGCCUCAGGACCUUAAAGCCACACUGUUCCUAACCACGCUUGCCUAUAUGGCACUUAGCACUUUACACAAAAAACAAACAGAGGUGUUUAUUCCCUGGCAGUUAAUAUAAAUGCUUUCUGUUUUGUAAAAUAGGAACAGUAUUUGAUUCCAUUAUCACAGAUCUCUUGUGGACAAGUCAAAAUUCUUCAAUUAAGGUUAUAUCUAGUUAAAGGAAUUUUUCUCUUUGGUCUACAUCCCCACCCUGAAUGUCCUUGCCUGUUAGUUCCUUGCAGGUGAAAGGUAAAAAACCUUUGCAACUUCAUGCUAUAAUUGUGCCUUUGAAUUUUCAGAGGAAAAGACAGUGAGAGAGCAAGAGCAGAUUGAGAAGCAGAAGAGUGAGUCGCAAAAAGAGAAAAUGACAGAAAUGGAGCACCCUGGUGAGUCCCAACCACAUCCAUUCUUGAUGAUAACAACCAAAGCUCAGAAAAUGAUUUCUUACAGAAUGUUGUAUCAAAAGGAGCAUAUUGUAUGUGCAAAGUUGCUGCAGCUUUCCUAAGUUGGCUUCAAACUAUCCAACUAUGAUGUUAACAUAUUACCUUCAGCCAGUAUGAUACACAUAUUGGAAUGUUUUGUAUCAUUGACUACUUUUCCUGUGUCUGUCCACUCUACUGUUUCAAACCCCUGGUACUGGGACAGUGAUUGAACCCAGGUAUUCUUGUCAAUAAUAGUUGGAGGGGCUUAGCAAUAGAUCAAGGUAUAGAAGAAUUAAACCUGCUAUAGCUUGAUCUACUUUGAGAUUAGAGUGUACAGGGUCCUCUCCAACCUGACACACUUGGCCCUUUUCUGACAUAGGUUUAGUAAGUUUUGUGUGCAUUUGUAGAUAUUUUUUCAUUCCUAGGGGUUUGGCUUCAUUGAGAUGUGAGUUGUGGAGCCAAAAUACCAGAGAGGCUGACUGUUUUUGUAGCAAGAGUUAGUUUAUUUUGUGGUUGGGUUUGAAAAAGAAAAAGCUAAAAACUGCCCUCAAAUAUCUGAUUUAGCUGAUUGCUAGGUUAUCUAAAUCAACUUGAAAACUUUGGAUAAGCAUUAUUCAAACACUAAAGGCAACAAAAGUCUAUUUCAUUAUGUUUGCUCUGAUACCUAGCUUCCCGGCUGACUUCUUUUCCAGUUCCUUUCAUCCUUUCACAAACCUGAGGAAUGAACAUACAGAAAAGGCAUUUUACUUAGUUACUAUUAGAAAGCAUGAAUAUCAUCAACUCAUAUAUCUUUAUUCAGUUUAGUACUCUGCAGACAUCCUUGUUGGAUAUUUUAUUCUGGGAUUGUUAGAACUAAAGUUAGCCUUAAUGACUUAAAGCAAUGAUUUUCAUAAAUUUCUCCUGAAAUGAUGUUUUGGUACAAAAUGCCCUGAAAAUGAUUUAACUAUAGAUAACACUGAGAAUUUUACUUACUGCUGCUCAUCAGAAAGACACCCUGGGUCUCCUUUCCCUCUCUCCACCCCUUAUCCCCUUUCUCAGAGAUUAAUUGAGGAAACAUUUAAAAAAGUUUUCAGUUUUGGUUAGGAAAUAACAUCAUUAAGCAAGUUUUGCUGGGUGAUGUGUAAUCACUGAAACGCCAAUUUGUUCAGGAAGCAGGAAUUAACACCUUUGCUCUAGUGAAAAAGAAAUUGGUACAAGACUUUAAGGAAGUCAAAAUGAUGAAGUUUGGAUUAAGCUCUUAGCAGGAAAGGCAAAGGCCACAGUGAAAGCAAUCCUGAGCUGGCCAGCCCUGUAAACAACUGCUAGCCCCUGGUUAAGUGUCUUUUUCUUUUGACAUAGAGAAGUUAAAAUAUAGUGCAAUUUAAUAUAGUCAGCACACUUCACCCUAAAAUCCAAUCAAUUUAUUAAAGAAAAAAAGGUCCAUUCAACCCAGCCAUUAUACAUGACUCUAUAGUUCUUGGAAAUAACUAUAGUCAGCUCUGGAAACAGAAAACUAAUCCAACUGACCACUUGAGGGAGGUGGUGGGUUAUCUUGUCUAGAAAAAGGACCUCAGUUCCUUCUUUGUAGUGUGCAAUUUUAAGAACUUUGAAUACCUCCUGUGACCUAUGGGUAAAAUGAGAUCACAGGAACCCAGACAAUGGCCUUUUCUCCACUUGGAUCUAUAAUCUAAUUUUCCUAUAAAGUAAGGGGAAUAAAAUAGAUUUACAGAACACUUGUGAUGGUCUAGCUGAUGGAUCACUUUAAAAAGAGAGAAAGAGGCAAAGUAUGGGUAGUUUAUUUUCACAAAUCAGUUUUAGUUUUUUUCUAUGAAAUUAAUGAACAAGAAGCCCAUUAAAAUGAUUGUUACAAUUCUUCUUUUUAAUUGUUUACUCUAUUAAGGUGACAAUACUUGACAGCUUGAUAUAUGAACAGUGUUCACUUGCCCAACAUAAACAUCAAUUAUAACAUGAAAAUGCGAUGGUCCUUCAACCCUUCAUUCACUCAUCCAGGUUAAAUGCAGAAUUUGGAAAGAAACCAAAAUUAAAGUUAAUUUUACCUAGACUUCAACAGAUGUUUUUUAACAAGAAAAAAAAAAACAAAGAAAUUGUGGCUGAAGAAAAGUUAGCUGAGAUGAAGAGUAAAAUGGGUCAUGUAGGAACAAAGUCAUUGUAUUUCAUCAGAGUCAAGAAAAUUAUUAAUUAUUGAAAUGGGAAAUCAAAUCAUUAAAGUAUGAAUACCAUUGGCUCUCUGAUUUCUUCUUUCCCAGGUAUCAUAAAAUAUGCUUGAACUUGGGUUAAUUCCUCUUGGACUGAAUUGUAGUGCCAUAAACCAAGCUUUUCAAAAAGAUUGGAUGCAAAACUAUUAUGGCAACAGGAAUUUUUAUCAACAUAAAGCAGGAUUUAAUGCAGAUAAAUCUUCUGAUGGAUUCCCACCUGAACCUGAUCCUAAUUCCAGAAACACAAAGCCUGGAUUCUUUGUGUUCACUACAUUUAUUCUGUCUUUCCAUGAGCUAAGGCUGUAAAUCCCACAGUGAAGCAUGCAUAAACACCAACUAGACGGGAUUAGACCACACUAUUUAGUUAAUCUCAGUUUACAAAAGCUCUUCUUUCUUUGUCUGAAAGGCUGCCACAGAAAUCCAGCAAACGUGAGAAUGUCUUGCACUAUGGGUAGUGAGAGGGUAAAAAUAACUGCUUGCCUUCAUGAGCCCUCUCUCUCUUUGAGAAACUCUAUGUAUAUUUUCAGGGUGAAGGAUUUCUACUGUAAAUGCUUCAAAUCAUCAUCAUGGGGGAGAAGAGCACAGCAGUAUUUCCUUCCAAAAUGUAAGCAGCACAACCUUCCAAGAACCUUGAUGUGUAGUUAAAACGACCAUGAAGGGAGCCUCCCCUGAUCUCUGUCCUCCAAUUUAUUGCUCUCUCUCAUGUUUGAAAGGUUUGUUUUGGAUCCAGUGACAAUAAUACUGGUAGGACUAUAACUAAAGUACUUUGAGUCCUAGGAGGAGGAACAAAGAAUGUUUUUCUAUAAUAUGUUAACAUAACUGGACAUCCAUUAAAUAAUUGGUGUGUAGCUGGAAGUAAAAAUGGCUUAAACAGAGAAAAGUUUCUAUAACAGCUGUGAACACAAAGCCAACAAAGGACUUGAGGGACAAACACUUCUAAUAUGCUCGCAGAAUCACCUGAUGUCAUGAGCACCUGCUUUAUACAAAAACCACUGUGGCAGAAGCAUCUAUGUGUAUACUUAGGGUAACAAACAUUCCAUUUCAAUUUUGAAUUUAAAUAAAAGAUGCUCUAGUCUGUUUUUUUCUUCCAAUCUCAGGCUCAGGCUCUGCAGACAUCUCUUUGAAUCUCCCAAAAGAUCAUGUUUGCUUUGGUCGAAGAUUAGAUAUUCACCCCAGUGUUCACAUACUUUGUCCUCCCAAGCUGGAACAACUUGAGCUUUCAGAGUCCAAAUGUGUUAGACUCAUCCAGGGCUCUUGAAGUCAGUAUUCAAAUGCUAGCACUAUAAAUUAUAGAAUUUAGUUUGUCACAAAUUAAAACUUUAUUUCAGUGAAAACAGUGACUGUCACUUGUAUAUAUUUGGUCACUGUAAAUCUGCUGUAAACCAAAAGAGAAACUAAAACUAGCAAAGGGUGGUGAUGGUGGCAGCGGUAGUGGCAGAGGGACAUGCUAAUGUAUGUCUUGAAGUCUGUUUUCCUAGAAUCCCAAGCUACAUUGGUUGGUAAUAAAUAAUGUGGUUAAAGAAGGCAGAUUCUAAGAUAGAAUUUUGGACCUGGAUCACCUGUAGCCUGCCUAGCAAUGAAGACCUCAUCAGUGGUGAUAGAUGGAGAACAGAUACACCUUGGAACCAGAGUCCACCACGGAGAAGAUGCCCUAUACGUGUAUGUAAAAUGCUGAAUUAAAUAACAUUGUUUAACCAUUUUGCCAGCCACAGAAAUAAACUAACUUAAACUCA